AGGCUCUUCACUGAAAAGAAUGCCAAAUGCCUCUGGAAGUAAUAAAGAGACUGAACUAAUCUAAAAUUGUUUGAAACACUCAAGUCAUUUGGAACCAAUAUAUGUUGUCGUUAUCCCAUUCCAGUCUAUCCUCAUUCCUGUCCAUCCUCAAUUACCAAAUUAUUUGGCUGUAAAGCCAGCAAAGAAAAGGAACAGAGCCUACAUCAGAGCUUUUACAUGAAGGAAAUACUGAAAUUGGAUACGACACAUCAAAAAUAUUUAAAUAUGAAACUACAGAGACUCUGGCUGAGUUGCAGCCUCUCCAGUUCACAUGCUCUCUAACAGAACUCAGUCUUGAUGAGUGUUUGCAGAAAAUUGUCUUCAUUGUCAACCACACUCCACAAAAUGAUGGCUAAUUUGACUUUUACAGAUUUAAAAAUUUGGAAAGCAUUUGAGAUUGCCUGCCAACUCCACAGAACUCUUUUCAUUAAUCAGUAAAUAAAGUUUUAUUUAAUUUUUUCACAAAGAGAACUUUGUGGUCAUGAACGCCUGCUGUCUGCUCCAUUAAAAAUAAAGAAGUCUUCUAAAGAGACUCUCUCAAACAUAUUCAAAUACAGGACUUGGGAAGAUAUUUCAUUCUAAUUUAGGAGUACAUAAUUAAUGUAUUUCUUUGCAGCUAGCGUUUAAUGUCAUUGCUUUUAUGGCUUAUGAUGUAGUUUGUUUCUUUUUAUUUAACAGAAAGGUCAAUGUGACUAAUAAUUAGAACUAUGACUGAGAGAAGAAGACUGUAAUUAGACU
ensembl:lncRNA LINC02258 long intergenic non-protein coding RNA 2258